rnacentral:rRNA from 1 species
GAAGCGGCAACAGCUCAAAUUUGAAAUCUGGCGCAAGCCCGAGUUGUAAUUUGUAGAGGAUGCUUCUGGGUUGCGGCCGGUCUAAGUUCCUUGGAACAGGACGUCAUAGAGGGUGAGAAUCCCGUAUGCGACCGGCCAGCGCCCUCCACGUAGCUCCUUCGACGAGUCGAGUUGUUUGGGAAUGCAGCUCUAAAUGGGAGGUAAAUUUCUUCUAAAGCUAAAUACCGGCCAGAGACCGAUAGCGCACAAGUAGAGUGAUCGAAAGAUGAAAAGCACUUUGGAAAGAGAGUUAAAAAGCACGUGAAAUUGUUGAAAGGGAAGCGCUUGCUACCAGACUUGUCGGCGGUGUUCCGCCGGUCUUCUGACCGGUCCACUCGCCGCCGGCAGGCCAGCGUCGUCUGGGGCCGCCGGAGAAAGGCGGUGGGAAUGUGGCUCCUCCGGGAGUGUUAUAGCCCACCGCACAAUACGACGCGCCCCGGGCGAGGUCCGCGCUUCGGCAAGGACGCUGGCGUAAUGGGCGCAAGCGGCCCGUCUUGAAACACGGACCAAGGAGUCGAUCAAUUAUGCGAGUGUUCGGGUGGAAAACCCCUACGCGCAAUGAAAGUGAACGGAGGCGAGAACCGCGGUGCAUCGUCGACCGAUCCUGAUGUUUUCGGAUGGAUUUGAGUAAGAGCAUAGCUGAUCGGACCCGAAAGUUGGUGAACUAUGCCUAAAUAGAAUGAAACCAGGGGAAACCCUGGCGGA